GGCUUGGAGUGGAAGAACAGCUGGAAGUAGAAAUCUGUCAGCUCUAGGAACUGACCUCCCCCUCUCUUUCAUGGCCGCAUGACGUACCAACAAGAUCUUCCUAAACUUCUGUCAUCUCUGUAUGUGUAUGUGAGUGUUGCGUGUCUCUGUGUGUGCGCUGUGCAAAGUACCCAAUUCAUUUUCCCGGCAUUCGGGAAUCAGGCACCAUUCACAUCUCUGCCUAUGUGAUGCUACCCCCAAGGGCCAGGGCUCUUCCUGUUAUAGGUAGCUUUUGCUUACUUGGACUAACUUUGUGAUAAUUAUCUGAAUGCUUGUUUUGCACAUGGGUGGUCCAUUCUUGUCCUUAAAGCUUCUCAACUGUGCAGGUUCAGCUCCCAUCCUUUUGUAAAAGGUUGCCAAUUGGGAAUUUCCCUGUUGUUUCAUAAUUUUAGUUAAAUCCUCAAAACUGAAGCUAACAAGUAGGAAGAGUCCUCAA
rnacentral:lncRNA from 10 species